rnacentral:rRNA from 1 species
UCGCGCCUACGGGACGCAGCAGUGAGGAAUAUUGGUCAAUGGUCGGGAGCCUGAACCAGCCAAGUCGCGUGAAGGAUGACGGCCCUACGGGUUGUAAACUUCUUUUGUCAGGGAGCAAUUGAGUCCACGUGUGGGCUUAGUGAGAGUACCUGAAGAAAAAGCAUCGGCUAACUCCGUGCCAGCAGCCGCGGGAAUACGGAGGAUGCGAGCGGUAUCCGGAUUUAUUGGGUUUAAAGGGUGCGUAGGCGGAAUAUCAAGUCAGCGGGAAAAAUUCGGGGCUCAAACCCGUCGUGUCGUUG